GGCCCCUUUUCUCAGGGAUAGCCUAACAUCUGACCGCACCCUCUUUGCUUUUUAAAAAAUGCCUUUUCACUCUUUAAGAUAAAUCCACUAUUAUACAAUCUGCCACUAAUUGUGUAUUAAGACUUUUUUCUCUCGAAAGCUGACGCAUCCUGCUCUCAACGUGGUGUAGAAAGCGGGCUGUUACAGUGCUGGAUUAAUAAAAGGGGCCUUUAUGGUUUGUGAAAGAAUAUCUCUGUGCUUAGGCAGGAAACUUUUUGAUCCACAGAAAAGCCAGACGACAUCUAGAGCAAGAGAAGCCAACAUUAGGAGCAUGCAUAUUGUGAUAUCCUCAGCGAUUUCUUUUACAAUGCAUUCUGCUCAGGCCAGUGAAUUUUGUUUAACUGACCAGUGAAAGAAAAAAAAUUAAAAUGAAAAAGGAAACUGAAGAAGUUAAUUAUACCAGAAUUCAGCGAAGCUGAACGGCUUCCCGAAGAGCACUGAGUUUUCUAUGCCAGAUUCUGCUCCAGUGGCUAGGACCUUUAUGGCUGCUGUUUUUUUUUCUCUGGGUUCUCUGAGGGGGGGGAAAAAAAAAAAAAAAGCCACCGUGGAUCCCGUCCCUAAAGUAGAAAUUUUCUUUUUCGUUCUGCAAACAAGGCUAAAGAUCGGAGGAGAAUGAAUGCGAAAGUAAUUCAGGAUUGUGGUCGUGCCAUUAAAAGUGUUCAGCUUCAGAACGAAAUUAUUUGGGAAGUCCGAGCAUUUCUUCUUACUGUAUCGACAGUAUUUGAAAGUUAUGUGUGCUUUGAGUAAUCUGGUUCAAGUGACAACAAUCUCUGCAUGUCAAUGUUUUCUACAGCUUAUGGAGCGAAAGCUAGUUUUGCCAUUGGGAAGGAAGAAGCUUUUGCUAGCAGUCUGUAGAAGGAUUAAAUGUUGAACGUGGGGAAGAGGCAAAAAGUGAAUACACACCCAAAGGGUUAUCCUUGCAUCGUGAAUGGGUUUAAAGUAC